rnacentral:rRNA from 1 species
GACGAACGCUGGCGGCGUGCCUAAUACAUGCAAGUCGAACGCAGUGGGGACGGGUGAGUAACACGUGGGUAACCUCCCAUCAGAGGGGAUAACACUUGGAAACAGGUGCUAAACCGAUACUGAUGGAUGAACCCGCGGUGCAUGAGCGAGGUGGUGAGGGAACGGCUAACCAAGGCCACGAUGCAUAGCAGACCUUAGGGGGUGAUAGGCCACACUGUGACUGGGACACGGCCAAGACUCCGACGGGAGGCAGCAGUAGGGAAUCUUCGGCAAUGGACGAAAGGCUGACCGAGCAACGCCGCGUGAGUGAAGAAGUUUUGCGGAUCGUAAAACUCUUUUGUUAGAGAAGCGGUAUCUAACCAGAAAGCCACGGCUAACUAUGUGCCAGCAGCCGCGGUAAUUC